UCUGCUCGCUUUGUUCAUUGUUGCCGAGGCCCGCUUUGCUGUCGCAAAUGGAUCCUGGCUGGGCUGCUGUGGGAGGUUUGGCCGGGAGCAGGGAGAGAGAGGAGCUUGCUGAUGGAGCUCUGUAACUGGGGCGUUCGCAGCGCUUGCAGGAGGGAUGUUUGCAUGAGCAGGAACUUUGCAUGCCGCUCUUCUGUCAGGACAGUGAGACCUCCUGUCCCAGUUUGGAACUGGAAUCUGAGCCAGUGGUGCCAGGACUCGUGUGAGCUGGACAUGGCUUCUUGGUGAAUGGCUUAACACACCCUGUCCCAAGCUCUGCCCCACUGAGCUGUUCCUUUCUUCAAGCAUUUUACAAAACAAAAUAAACUGAAAGAGGAGUGAAGUCCUGUGGUCUGCUCCUCAGAGACUUCUGGUUUUGCUGGUGAUUUGUUUUUCAGUUUUAAAACAUCAGUGGUGAUUAUGAGAUUGCUGGGCUUUUUGUUCUCAGUCAGGGCAACUUAGACUGUCAGGGCCCAGAUGAAUUCCGAGGCACUAUGGCAAAGCCAACAAUAAUAAUGAGGAAUGAUCUGGGAGCUAUUCUGGAACCUGCCUGAUCACUUCAUCUGGGCCUGGAGAUGCUCAUUCCUCACAGUGGUGAUGGUGCUUUGGGCUGUGUUCUUCCCCUGUUACUGUCUGAAAUACCAGAGUGACCAGAGGCAUCCCAAAGGAGUACAUAAUGGAGCCCAGGGAGUUGGUAGAGACCAGUCCACCUUUUUUGGGAUCAGGUCAGUCUAUCCCUCCCCUGGGAGCUGACACAGACAAGAGCAGAUGGUUCUGAGAGUGUGCUCAGAACUUCCCAAAGGCCACCAGCUGCUGUAGUUCACGUCUGCUGUUCAGGCUUUCCACUGAGCAUUUACAUCCCCCUUCCUGGCCUUGGGAAGGAGCUGAACUGAAAUGCUGCUGCUUUGCCCAGGAGCUGUCCCUCCUGGAAAUGGUGUCCCUCAGCUGCAGCAUGUGAGGUGACACCUACGUGACCAAAGCAAAGUGCCCAGUAGGUGACACACCCAGCCCCUGUCAUGUGCUUUGGCAAACGGGGUCUCCAUUGUUGGGAUGACAUUUGGCCCAGAUGUCUCAGCUUUCUUAUUUGCUCUGGAGAGCCUGGGGAAUUUUGAACUUUAAAUAUUCCUGUGUUUUCUGCUAAAAAGGACAGGUUCCCAGGAGUAUUCCUGGUAUUUGCAGUAGAAAUCAAAGCAGUUUGUGAUUACUUGAUUUGAGAGCCCAUUCACUGUUUGGCACCAGCCUCUAAGGAAGUCCUGACUGCUUGAAAUGUUAUUCUUGUUGCAGAGCUCCUCAGCUCCAAACUCCAUAAUUUUGGAGUUUUAUGCAGUAUUUUAUAUAUUUUUGGUUAGACCUUCAAGUCAAGACCAAGAUGUCCAAUACCCCAUGGGAAGGCAGUACAAGGAGUAAAGGGUUCCCAGUACCCAGGAUUGCUGAGACACGUCUUAGAUUUCCACCUAGAAAUCAGAGAAGAGACAGAACACUUUCCUUAGAAGGAUCCAAAACUUCUUUACGUAGGGGUAAACAUAUAAUAUUUUCCAUUUCACUGCUGUGAAGAGCAGAAGAUAAAAAUACUGUGACUAAAUAUCAAUUCGGAAAUAAUUGAGUUGAAUUUUGUUUCCUCUCUUACACAGCAGGGCCUGAUGCCCUCUCCAAACUAUUUUUUUAAAGUUACUUUUUAAAAUUAGCUUUAGCCAUCAUAGCUUCUAUGUAUUUCUGGUCUUGAAAGGAACCAUCAAUUGUUUUUGUUUGAAGACAUUGAAUAUGAACUUGUUCCUACAGAGCUUUGUGCUGUAAUUUAUCAACAAGGCGCUGAGGCACAGACGUCAAAUGAAUACCAGAUUUCAAAUUAUGAUAAGCAAUUGUGUCAUCCCUGUGAAUAGACAUCAGUCUCUGCUGAGAAAUCAUCAAUAAUUCAUUUAAAAAAAUAAAUUAGUACAGGGCCUUUUGGAUAGGUCUUUGCAAACAACCAGUCCUGUGUUCUGUCAUAAUUCCUGUGAAUUUAAACCCAAAGGAUGCUUAUUUUUUAAAGAGAAACACAUGAUCAUGCCUAAGUCAAAAAAAUGUGUUCCCUCAGGACCUAAUUACCAUUUGUCUUUGGGGAGGUAUGGAGGAAGCUGGAGUGUCAGGGGUGUGCUGGGUUUGUCCAUGGCUCAGUGGGAACAUGCAGAGCUCUCCCAGAGUAUUUUACUGUUAAUAUUCCAGUCAUUACAUCUCCCCACUUCCUUUGCCCUCUACCUACACCAAACUCUAAGAUUAUUACUUCCAAUCUUAAAAUACAACUCUCAGAAUAAUUUUUAUUUCUUUACUAUGAGGAGAGGGAGGAUGCUGCUGGUUUAAAAAUUUCUUGAGCUUCCCUGUCGUAGGUGGCUUUUCAUUUGACAGUUGGCAUCCUGUUCGAGUCCAUUUCUCUCCCAAAUUGGAGGUUGUUACAUUCCAAUAAGCACACAGCAUCUGUUCUCUGUAGAAUAUGAUGUUGCAAGAUGCUGAUCAUUUAUCUAAGUGGGCUAUUUUCAAUUGAAUCAGAGAUGUACAUGCAGCCUAACAGCAAUAAUUCCCUCCUGCCUGUAAUUGCCCAUUAUAGGAAGAGGAAUUUAUAAAUAGUUAUAAAAGUCAGGAUUUAGAGGCUGUGCUUCAAGACCUAGGGCUAGCCACUCUUAGCUUAUCUUAGCAUAAUCUCAAAAAUAAAAUGCUCUACUUUGGAGAGCAUGAAAUAAUUUCUGUUUACACAUUUUUUUUCAAUUACUUUGAAGCUGUAAUAUAAAGGUCACUGAUUGCCUCUAGUCAUCACAUGGCUUUUUCACUAAUUGUGCACUCACCUCAUUUUGUUCUAUGGGAUCUUUUGCUUCUUGAUCCAGUUUCAUUGCCCAGAUGUUCAUUUCAUACAGUUAUAGCUUUAUACAAAGGGCAUCCUCUGUUCCAACAAACACAUUGUGGUCGUUGUUCCCAGUUGGGAGCCUCGUGCACAGCAGCUCACCUGCUUCCACCAUCAACCCACUGACCUUUGGGCUGAUUUAAUGUAAAAUCAGGCUCUGGGGAUAAGGAGGAGAAGUUAUGCCAAAAAGUUUCCUGGUCCCUAGCCUUGGACUGAUUAAGGUUGUGCUGCAGGAUAAAAAGGCAAUAAGGAAUGGGAAAGCUCUUUCAUCCUGACCCUUUUGGUGUGUAGUAGGAUGGAAAAUCACAUGGGCACCUUGAAAGUUUGACACUGGUGUUUUGGAAUGUGUAAAUGGAGACCUUAAUAUCUCCAAGAAGUCACUCUGUUGCCUGCUGCUUGUAAAAGCCACCCACAGAGGUUUCAUGUCAGGGCAGAGAGGUCCCUGCUGGUCCCCAUGGGGUGACUCUGCCCCAGGCCCUGGGGAUUUCCCAGCUCACAGAUUUCCGGAGGGUCAGGGCUCAAGGUUAUCCCUCAGCCCAUUUGCUGUUUGUGGAGCCACGUGGCCAUCACACAGCCCAGCUGUUGGGUUUAACUUAACCUUUAGAGCAGUCAUGAGAGCUUAGUUCAUGAGCAGAAUAAAUUACACGGAAGGCUUCAAGAGAGAAUUGUCCAUCUGAUUGCACUGGCUGCUGCUGAAAGCUCUGUGCAAGAUGAGCAGUGGAAAAUUGGACAGGGAUUGAGCAGUCUGUCAUGCAAGGAGGGUAUAACUUGGCAAUAUGUAUAUCUGUGCAGGUUUUGAAAUCUCUACCUUGGCCAAAAGUGACCUCCCAAACGACAGGAAUCUGGUCAUCUUGAGCACAAAUGUUCCUAGAAAGAUGAGCCUACGAAACUGUGCUGGCUGCUGGCAGGGCCAGCAGGGCUGGCAAAGUGCAGAGUGUUCCAGGCUGAGGUGGGAGAGCAGCUCCAGCCCAGGGCAGGCAGAGGAGAGCCCUGGAGAGGAGCUGGCACCAGGCAGUGAUUUUGGACAUCUCUCACUCUCAGCUGUGAGGCUGCUGGGCCAAACCUGCACAAGGUGGGAUGGUGCCUUAUGCUGAUGUGAUUUGCUGUGGGCCCUUCUGGUUCCCCACAAAGGAGCUCCAGGAUAUCCAGGACAUCCACUGCAUCCUUCCUAGGCAAACCUUGGGAAGGGUAGCUGCAGAUGCCAGUGUCUGCUCUGCUCAGCUUGGCAGGGAGGAGAGCAAAGGAGUGAGGUGGAGAAAACCAGGGAUCCUGUCUGGUUCUUGCUACCAGUGGAUAGAUACACAGGAAGGUGCAGGAUUUUGUUUUCUGAACAUGAUGUUUCCUGUGACUGCUGAAAUCAGUGAGCAGAGACAGACCCUUCUCCACACUGCAGCAUAAUCCUCCAUUUCUCUCUCUUGAGGCUGCAGAUCCCCUGGCACAGCUGUAAAUUUCCCUUACAGUGCACAGCAUGGGUUUCACUGACAAUUCCUGGGAAAACAACUCUUCUGGAGCCUUAUUCCAUUCAAAAUAUGUUUUUCCUCCUCUGCAUCUCCACAUUUUUCCCUGCAUCCAAGCAGCCACCUGCAUUCAAUAUCAGACACGUGGAAUUCCAUAAACAUCCCUUCCAGACCAUAAUAGUUUGAUGGAAAUAUGGCCAAGUGCCCAAAGCCCUGUGCCCUUCCCACAUCCCCUCCCAGCAGCAUGACCUGGGAGGCCUCCGGUGCAGGAUUGAUGUCUUGGUGGGUGGCAGUGACUGACAGCAGCAACAAGGAGCUCUCUGGGGCAGAGGACAGGGAGGGGAAUGGUGUCUCCUGGGAUGAGCUCCAGUCUGCUCCAGGGAAUGUGCUAAUUUUCACUCCUUCAUAGUCCUUUAUCUCCGGCCUUCGACCUUGAGCUCAGAGGCAUUAUCAGCCUUAGCCAGAAAGGCAGCGUGCAGUUAACCAUUGAAAUGCUGAAUGUUUCUCAUACAAGGUCCUGAAGGUAAAAGCAAUGAAUGCAGUUUAUUUUAAUAGUGCAGCAUCUCGGGGGACUGUUCAGGUUUGGGCAGAACCUAUUUAUGAUAUUAGGAAAUAUAUUUUUUAUCAUAUAUGAUUUUGUGAGCAUUUUUCGGAUUUUGAUGUCCCUUCAGAGUUCCCUGGGCAUGUGCAGACCCCUUGUAAGCCUGUUCUAUGUGCAUGACUGUGUACGAACUCGGUUUUAUUCAUCACCUUUUCAUCCUUAUUGUACCCAAUUACUGAUAUCCAGAGCACAGACAGAAAAUUACUGGUACCAUGUUUUCUGUGGGUCCCUUACUAUCAUGGGAACACAUUUCCAACUUCAUAAAGUAUUAUACAAACUCUUACCAUAAAAGAAAAGUCACUUCCUGGAGCUGUCUAGAUGAAUGUAUUUAUUGCCAGUUCUGCUGCUGACUUCCCUGGGUGACUCUGGGUUUGUCAUUUAGCGGUGUGUAAGGUUUUGUGUUUGCAGAAUGAGCUGGGAAUACUUCCAUGGGCCAUCGUGGCUAUUAAUGAGUUAGGAAUGUGCUUCUGUGCAUGUGUCUCUUGUUUGGCAAGAUCAGCUUCUUUUCUGUACCUGACAAAUAUGAUGCAAGAAGAAUAUUUCCUUUUCCUUACCGGCAGUAAGUGGUCUCUCUGUGACCAGCAGUAACUGGGAAGAAGCAGAAUUUUGGGUAGAAUAUUCCUGCUUAAUCAGUUCAGUGUUGAUGGAGUUAAUUUGCUCAUGCCUUCAGAUUGUUUUGUUUCCAGGGAUUCUAAACCGUUGCCUCCAGCUGUUCAUUUCCAUUGACGAGGAUGAUCUUUAUCUGUCUAAACUAGUUAAAACCUGCUCCACUACCCAGCAGCCUUUUUGGAAACAGCCCAAUAAAGCUGAGUGUGAUGGCUAUGACACCAAAGCCUCCUGGACAUCAUAAAUUCCAAGCCCUACUUUUUUCCCCUGACCUCUCACUGUUGGAGCACCCUUCCUGUUUUAAUGGGACUCUUAACUUCCUCCAUUUAAGCCUGUCCAAAAAGGGGAAUAUUUGCACUGCAAGUGAUCAGUGUAAGGUAAUUUGCUGCAUUAAUAUUAUCAAAUUAAGGCUUGACAGACCUCAAAGGUAUAAUUCAAACAACUGAAGCACUGUCACACUUGGACUCAGUGUGGUUGUUUCUUGAGAUGUUUUAGGUGACUCAUAUUUAUAAAUGUGCUCAGUUUAAGGCUUGUUGUGACAUGUUGGGACUGGUUAUACCUUCAGAGUCACCCGAGCCACUUCCUCCUCAAACAGGAGAUGUGCAAGUUUGUGUGCAAGCUGCAGGUUUGUUAAGCUGCUGAGGCAGCCACCAGAUGCACCAGGGCAUCCUUCCAGUGCUGAAAUUCAGGUGUCUGGUGUCCAUUAGGCAGAGAUGCUGUCUGUACCAGAGGGAAUUGCCAACAACACAAAACCUUCUGUUGCUGUAGUGCUGCUACAGGGACCAGAGCUGGAAUGUGCAGCCUGGUGUAGGAACUCCUUCCCUUGUGCUGGGGUUUCUAAUUCACAUUAUUUGGGCCUGAGCUGAACAGGAGCAUGUAACACAACAGGGAAAAUCUAAUGGUCAGUUUGGACAUAAAGCUCUUCCUUCCACUCCAAAGACUGUUAACAGCAGUGGGAAAAGCUGUGGUCAGAAGACUUCUCCUGAAAACUCAGGGUGAGGUUUAUUUUGGGAUGUGCCAAGGAGACUUCUCCCUGUAGUUUUAUUGCAGAUGUUGCUGUCCCUGCAGUCAGGGAGGGAGCAAGGCCUCAGCAGUGCUGGGAUGUGGCUCCUGCUCUCUGCUGCAAACAGCUGGAGCAGUUCAGCUCCAGCCCCUGCGUCUGUGGGAGAAUGCUGUGUAGUCAUUUUGCUGCUGAACCACCUCAGAGCGAUUAUCAGACUUCCAGAGCAAGGAAAAAGUCUGAGAAAAAGACCAGUUUAACAUGUCAUUGUUUGGUUUUAGCAGCUGUGUGUUAUCCUAUUGUUACUAAUAACCUUUGCAAGUUUGUGAGCAAUGUUUUCUUGGCAUCGUUCAAACAUAAUGACUGGGGGGUCACAUUCAGCUCUCAGUUGUGUAAAUAUGGAAUGUUCUCUUGGCUGUCUAGUGCUAUUUUGCAUUUGGCUCAUGGUCCCUGCCCCUAGAGUCCUGCAAUCCAAAAUACCCAGGCAGGGAGUUCAGUCACAGUAUGCUCUGGGUAUACUGCAUACCAGCUGGGUAUGCAAAGCACAAAGUAAACACAUGAACAGCUACUAUCAAAUCCAAGCCAUAUAAUUACAACUCUACUGUCCUCUGGUUGUGGUUAGUGGAUUAUUCCUGAAUAAAUGACAGCAGGAGUUUGCUUGGUACCUUCCCAGUGUAAUUCACCAGUAGAUAAUGAUUGGGAAGUCUUUCAGAAAAA